rnacentral:rRNA from 1 species
UUAUACCCUAUAGGUUACAGAUGCUGUAAUGCUCUGUAAUCAAAAGUUCCGGCGCCCCAGGAUGGAUCUGCGGCCGAUUAGUUUGUUUUUGGGGUAAUGGCCCAACAAGCCAGUUAAUCGGUACGGUUUUUGGGAGCAAGAGCCCGGAGUUGGAUUCUGAGACACGAAUCCAGGCCCUACGGGGCGCAGCAGGCGCGAAAACUUUACAAUGCGGGCAACCGUGAUAAGGGAACCUCGAGUGCCUGUAAAUGCAGGCUGUUCAGAUGCCUAAAACACAUCUGGAGAAAGGGCCGGGCAAGACCGGUGCCAGCCGCCGCGGUAAUACCGGCGGCUCGAGUGGUGGCCACUUUUAUUGGGCUUAAAGCGUUCGUAGCUGGGUUGUUAAGUCUCUUGGGAAAUCUGGCGGCUUAACCGUCAGGCGUCUAAGGGAUACUGGCAAUCUUGGAACCGGGAGAGGUGAGGGGUACUUCGGGGGUAGGAGUGAAAUCCUGUAAUCCUCGAGGGACCACCUGUGGCGAAGGCGCCUCACCAGAACGGCUUCGACAGUGAGGGACGAAAGCUGGGGGAGCAAACCGGAUUAGAUACCCGGGUAGUCCCAGCCGUAAACUAUGCGCGUUAGGUGUAU